UACGGAGGGGGCUAGCGUUGUUCGGAAUUACUGGGCGUAAAGCGCGCGUAGGCGGAUCUGCAAGUCGGGGGUGAAAUCCCGAGGCUCAACCUCGGAACUGCCUUCGAUACUGCGGGUCUCGAGUCCGGGAGAGGUGAGUGGAAUUCCUAGUGUAGAGGUGAAAUUCGUAGAUAUUAGGAAGAACACCAGUGGCGAAGGCGGCUCACUGGCCCGGUACUGACGCUGAGGCGCGAAAGCGUGGGGGGCGAACAGG
rnacentral:rRNA from 1 species